rnacentral:sRNA from 1 species
UCAUCAUGCCAUCGUCUUAGUGACUGU